UUCUCGAUAGAGUUUUUAAGCUCAACAGGGAAAUCUGUCAGUUCAUGGACAGUAAAGGAAAAGACUGCACAGUUUUGCGGGAUGAAAAGUGGAAAUGUGAGUUGGCGUUUCUGGCUGACAUAACAACACAUCUCAGCGUCUUAAACCUUCAGCUCCAGGGACGUGACCGCAUGAUCACUGACAUGUAUGAUGCAGUGAAGGCAUUUCAAGUGAAGCUGCUCCUAUGGGAGACACAAAUGCACCAGUGCAACUUGCCUCAUUUUCCCUGUUGCCAAGUAAUGUUGAACCAGGUCGGCGCAAUGAUGUUCCCAAAUGCGCACUUUGCUGAUAAACUGAGCGCACUUCGCACUGAGUUCGCACGGCGCUUUGGUGACUUUGAAGCUCAAAAAAUUAAUUUCGAGCUGCUUCGCAACCCAUUUGCCGUCGACGUGGAAACUGCACCUGUACAGAUUCAGAUGGAGCUGUUAGGGCUGCAGUGUAAUGGGACACUAAAGGCAAAGUAUGACACUGCAGGGCCCGUACAGUUUAUUCGCUCCAUUCCUGAAGCAAUGCCUCAGCUCCGUCUACAUGCGGCUCGAACCUUGUGCAUGUUUGGUAGCACAUAUCUGUGUGAGAAGCUUUUCUCAGUGAUGAAGAUUAACAAAACAUCACACAGGAGUCGUCUCACUGAUGAACACCUGCAGUCCAUCCUGAGAAUCUCCACAACACAGAACCUUACACCAAACCUAAACGAACCUAUUGCCAAGAAAAGAUGCCAAGCAUCCAGCUCUGACAAAACGGCAUAAGAGCAAAGAAAACUGAGUGUUUUGAUUUGUUGUUGUUUUAACUUUUGCUGAAAAGCACAAAUUUUAUUUAUAUUUUCAGGGUUUUUUUGCAGCAUGCUCAUAUUUCUAACUUGUAUAAUACAGGAGCUAUUUUUAUGGAGAGCAAAAUAUUUAAGUUAUUUAAAGUUUUAGUUUAUUUUUUCUGGAAUAGUAUUCCUGUCUGUUUUUAUUCAUAUUUAUGUUCAAAAAAUGUUUAGUUUUAGUGUGUUCAAUAAACGUUUAUCCUGUUCGGCCCGCGACCUAAAGUGUGCUUUGAGUUUUGGCCCCAUGUGCAAUUGAGUUCGACACCUCUGCGCUAAUAUGAUGAACUGAGACUGAGGCUUUGGGCCUAGUCCGGGCUGCUCCAAGGAUUUGGAUCUAAGGACUCAACUUGAUUCGAAAUGUUCUUGCUCGCUCCUAUUGUUUGCAUGAAUUGUUUGUUUUUCCUUUCUCUAUGCAUCGGGUGUUGGUCUUUUUUUAAUCGGGUUAUUUCAGGUAUUUUGCUUUGUGGCUGUUUGUAAGCAGACAAAUCUCGAGGUUGUAUAAUUUUUACAUUCUUUGAUAAUAAAUGUACUUUGAAACUUCUUUAUAGGAAGGAUGUGGACCUUUGGAGAGCGGAGAGGGUGCAGAAAGGAUUUACCAGGAUGAUGCCUGGACCAGAGGAAAUGUCAUAUGAGGAUAGGUUGGGUGAGCUAGGGUUUUUCUCUUUGGAGUGAAGGAGGAUGAGAGGUGACUUGCUAGAGGUGUGGAAGAUGGUGAGAGGUACACAUCAAGUGGAUUGCAAGAGACUUUUUCCUAGGGUGUAAAUAGCUAAUACAAGGAGGCAUAAUUUUAAGCAGAUUAGAGGAAAAUAUAGGAGAGGUAACAUCUAUAUUUUUUUACACAGAGAGUGGUGAGUGCAUGGAAUGCUCUGCCAGAAGUACUGGCAGUGGCAAGUACAUUAGGGGCAUUUAAGAAACUCAGGUAAGGAGCCAUUUGGGAUGUCAGAGCAGAUGCGGGUUCGGAGAUGCAGACCUGGCUGCAGAGCAUUUUACUGCCUGCUACUCCAAGGCAUCGAAGUUGGUGCGCAAAGGUGGCAUACGGUAUAACGGUAGGAGAUUGUCUCGGAUAUUUCACUCUCUAUUGGGCAAUGAUAAUGUAGGCUGCCACAGCCUUUUGCCCUUGUCUGGUGGCGUGACAGGCGACAUGGGAGCUGUGCAGCCUCCAUGUAGUGAGGACUAAGCCUCAAUGAUCAGGCUUGCCUGCUGCUGCUGGACCAGGUGAGAAGACGUGUGAGUGUUGUAGUGUGGCAUCCGAGCUUGGCUGGGGACUGGCCUCUCCCGUUAGUGCCACUCUCCUGUGUUCGAGCAAUGGAGUAACAGGCUGGACUCCGUGCGUUUGUGGACUGCUGGGAGACUGUACCAUCAGAGUCUUGGACUAUCUAUAUUUUCUUAAAUGAAUAUGCUUUUUUGCUUGCUAUUUUGUGUGUUUGCACCUUGGCCUCAGAGGAACAUUGUCUCAUUCAGCUGUAUCUAUGUUUGUUUGAAUGAUAACUAGAGAUGAUUUGAUUUGAUUUUGAUUAGGAACUCUAGAUAGGCACAUGAAUGAUAAAAAAAUGAUUAUGUAGGAGGUAAAGGUUAGAUUGAUCUUAGAGUAGGUUAAAAGAUCGGCACAACAAUGUGGGCUGAAGUGUUCUAUGUAAUACUUACCCAUGCUCAUCUGUAACUGUCUCAUUUUGCUUUCUGGUAGUUGGUGUACACUGUACUGAUGGUAAGAACAAUGUACAGCAGAAUUUGUUACUUCUACCUGGAUGGAACUGAUUUUCUUUGUUUGCUUUGGUCUUCUCAGUGUGAAAACUUCGUUCAAUCUUACAAAAAAGAGCUUAGCAAAUUGCUUCAAAAGUCCCAGGAGGAAAAGGACAUUUGUUGGGAACUGGACCUCUGUGUAAGGAAACAGACUGUACGACAGUUUGGACUGACUGCAUGUGCUUUGGGAUCAAGGUACUGGUGUAAGAACCGACAUACAGCCACCAAGUGUCGUGCUGUUGAUUACUGUAAGAGACGCCGCUGGAAACAGGGCUAAUUUCAUAUCACUGGUGGAAGGCAACAGAAAUUGAAUACUUAAAAAAAUGCAAAGGCUCUUCCUUUAGUACCAGUUAAAUGAUGAUUCUGCUUGUGUGUUUGCAUGUUUCCUUUAAGCAAUUUUGUGUUGCUGCAGCUUGUGCAUUCAAUGCAAUCUCUUUUAUUGUGAGAUGUUACAGAGACGAGAUUAUUGGUAAUCCUUUACUUCCAUCGAAUCAACAUUGCCAGAUGCCAUAUACGCAGAGUUUCAAUGACAAAUAUUGAUUGGGGUUUUGAUUUCAUCAACUGUAAAAAUUCAGCAGACUAAAGUGCUUUAAGAUCAUGUUCUGUUUCUUAAAUAAGCUUUUAGAGUUGUGGUUCAUUCUCGUACCCUUCAAUAUCUGGCUGCUGAACCUGCCUCAAGUAGUCAGUCAUACAAGGCUCAACACUUCCCUGCUGUAGAAGGCAUCAUAAACAAAUCAACUUGAGAACACAGCCUUUCCUACCCAAACAAAACAUGACACCACAGCAGAUAUAUCAACACAGCCCUGUGGUCAGCCCUUCCAUCAUUUGAGGUUCCUAUAUGCAAACAUUUUCCUCAAAGUGGAGUCCAGUGACCCAGAGGGACAAAAUUGGUACUCUGGAAGAUCACAAUGGUAAUCCAUGUGUGGAGCCAAAACAGAUGGAGGAAAUCUUAAAUGCAUUUUUUGCAUCUGUACUUACUCAGGGGAUGAAUACAGAGGCAAAGCAACAUCAACUUUAUGGACCCUGUACAGAUUACAGAGGAGGAGGUGUUUGCUACCCUGAGGCAAAUCAGGGUAGAUAAAUCCCCAGGGCCUGACAAGAUGCUCCUUCAGACCCUACGGGAGGCAAUUGCGGAAAUUGCCAGAGCCCUUGCAGAGAUAUUUUAAAAAGGGAACAUGAGGAGAAACUUCUUCACU